CACCCCCAGGUCUGAGGGACAGGCACAGAGACACAGGUCACCCCCAGGUCUGAGGGACAGGCACAGAGGCACAGGUCACCCCAGGUCUGGGGGGCAGGCACAGAGACACAGGUCACCCCCAGGUCUGAGACACAGGCACAGACACAGGUCACCCCCAGGUCUGAGGGGCAGGCACAGAGACACAGGUCACCCCCAGGUCUGAGGGGCAGGCAGAGACACAGGUCACCCCAGGUCUGGGGGCAGGCAGAGACACAGGUCACCCCAGGUCUGGGGACAGGCAGAGACACAGGUGCUGGGACCCAGGAGCGGCGGCUUCCCCAGCAGGCCCAGCUCUGCCCGGGAGACCAGACGGGGACAGGGACCGGGCUCUGCUGGCUCUCGCACUCGCCUUGCCCCAGCCCACACCAGGACACAGCAAAGGCUCACUGGCCAGUGCCCAGCUGGACGUGGCUGCCCCCUGCCAGGCCCGGGGCCCCAUCUCACACAGAGGCCCCGCAGCACCCCUCCCA